rnacentral:rRNA from 1 species
AGAGUUUGAUCCUGGCUCAGAAUCAACGCUGGCGGCGUGCCUCAGACAUGCAAGUCGAACGAUUAAAGCUCCCUUCGGGGAGUGCAUAAAGUGGCGCACGGGUGAGUAACACGUAAGUAAUCUACCCUCGGGUGGGGAAUAACGUUCGGAAACGGACGCUAAUACCGCAUAAUGCAGCGGCACCGCAAGGUGACAGUUGUUAAAGGAGCAAUCCGCCUGGGGAGGAGCUUGCGGCAGAUUAGCUUGUUGGUAAGGUAACGGCUUACCAAGGCUACGAUCUGUAUCCGGUCUAAGAGGACGGUCGGACACACUGACACUGAAUAACGGGUCAGACUCCUACGGGAGGCAGCAGUCGGGAAUUUUGGGCAAUGGGGGAAACCCUGACCCAGCAACGCCGCGUGAAGGAUGAAGUAUUUCGGUAUGUAAACUUCGAAAGAAUAGGAAGAAUUAAUGACGGUACUAUUUAUAAGGUCCGGCUAACUACGUGCCAGCAGCCGCGGUAAUACGUAGGGACCAAGCGUUGUUCGGAUUUACUGGGCGUAAAGGGCGCGUAGGCGGCGUGGUAAGUCACUUGUGAAAUCUCUGAGCUUAACUCAGAGCGGCCAAGUGAUACUGCUGUGCUCGAGUGUGGAAGGGGCAAUCGGAAUUCUUGGUGUAGCGGUGAAAUGCGUAGAUAUCAAGAGGAACACCUGAGGUGAAGACGGGUUGCUGGGCCAACACUGACGCUGAGGCGCGAAAGCCAGGGGAGCAAACGGGAUUAGAUACCCCGGUAGUCCUGGCCCUAAACGAUGGAUACUUGGUGUCUGGAGUUUUAAUGCUCCGGGUGCCGUCGCUAACGUUUUUAGUAUUCCGCCUGGGGAGUACGCUCGCAAGAGUGAAACUCAAAGGAAUUGACGG